rnacentral:rRNA from 1 species
UACAGAGGGUGCGAGCGUUAAUCGGAAUUACUGGGCGUAAAGCGUGCGCAGGUGGUUCGCUGUGUCUGCGGUGAAAUCCCGGGGCUCAACCUGGGAAUGGCCGUGGAAACUGGCGAGCUGGAGUGUGGCAGAGGGGGGUGGAAUUCCGCGUGUAGCAGUGAAAUGCGUAGAGAUGCGGAGGAACACCGAUGGCGAAGGCAACCCCCUGGGCUGACACUGACGCUCAGGCACGAAAGCGUGGGGAGCAAACAGG